rnacentral:tRNA from 1 species
AGAGACUUAGGUUCAACCAAACCAAGAGCCUUCAAAACUCUAAACAGUGGUAAUCACCCCCCUAGUCUCUG